rnacentral:rRNA from 1 species
CACUCCUGCGCGAGGCAGCAGUGGGGAAUUUUGGACAAUGGGCGAAAGCCUGAUCCAGCAAUGCCGCGUGUGUGAAGAAGGCCUUCGGGUUGUAAAGCACUUUUGUCCGGAAAGAAAUCCUUGGCUCUAAUACAGUCGGGGGAUGACGGUACCGGAAGAAUAAGCACCGGCUAACUACGUGCCAGCAGCCGCGGUAAUACGUAGGGUGCGAGCGUUAAUCGGAAUUACUGGGCGUAAAGCGUGCGCAGGCGGUUUGCUAAGACCGAUGUGAAAUCCCCGGGCUCAACCUGGGAACUGCAUUGGUGACUGGCAGGCUAGAGUAUGGCAGAGGGGGGUAGAAUUCCACGUGUAGCAGUGAAAUGCGUAGAGAUGUGGAGGAAUACCGAUGGCGAAGGCAGCCCCCUGGGCCAAUACUGACGCUCAUGCACGAAAGCGUGGGGAGCAAACAGGAUUAGAUACCCUAGUAGUCCC